GUGCUACAUCCUCAGUUAUGUUCAUCUUUGCCUCCACCUGCAUCCAGGAUGCUUUUGACUGCAGUUAGUAUCAAUUCCAUCCAUGGAAUCUUCUCUUUUGAGGCACAAAGCACUGCACCGAAGCUGGACCAAUCCUUGCCAUCAGCUGGCAGCAGAAUGGUAGACGGUGGGAGAGACCCUGAAUCCUUCCAGGCUGGGCUGACUUGAGAAAUGAGAACUGCACACGUUUGACUCCCGAACCGAAGGGGUGAAAAGGCUGGGUGCCAGUUUGCUACUCGGCUGAAAUGAUCUCAUGUUCACUGCUCUGUCGUCCUGUUCGACCAGUUCAAAUGCCUGUUCAUUAUAAACCAAAUACAUACAUAAAUAAAUAACCCAACUACUUGGAUUCUUCA
rnacentral:lncRNA from 1 species